CUGAGCACAUGGGGCUCAGCUCUGCCUGCACUAGCGACACAUGGGGUGGCUCUGAGUGAUUCUCAUCACAGCCAGCACCUCUGAAAUGGCUGCCAUGGUAUUUCUAUCCCCUCAAAAAUCCUCCAGGAGCACUGAUGAAAAGAGGAGCACUUGAGAAAAACAGGUGCAUCUUGCAGAGAAACUAAUUUACUGGAGCACAGCAAAACCAGAAAAACCCAAACCUACGUCCUACAGCUUACACCAGGCUGGAGCAAGGGAACUCAACAGCUCCUCGGGUUCAGGACCAGUCUUAGUUCACACAGAAGGGCUCCUCCAGGCACUCUGCUCAUCGACAUCAUUCUCACUGCCUCUCAUCUGCCUCUGGCAGUGGAGAGGCGUCUCCUCCGCCCUCAGUCUCCUGCAUGGAGCACUGUUCCUUUACUGCUGUUCCCACGUUGGGUGGCUCCAACUGAACAGGAUAAGGUAGCCGAGGGCUCCUUCUUCCUCAGCCUUUCCUGUCUCGCUCAGAGGUUCCAUAGGUAGGACUGAGCAGAGCACUCUGCACGUGACAGCAUAUGUCACCUGCUCCCCUCUGUGACUGUGCACGAGACACACCCUCCUCUAGGAAAGGGUUGGGGAACCCACACAUGAGAAGUCAUCACUGAAAGAGGAGCCUUCCAUCUUUUUCUGCCUGCAGGAAGACAAACCUUUAUAUUGAAAUCAGGGGUGGGAAGGAACCUGAGAGCUCCACUCCGCAGGCUACCAUGCCCUGAGUUUUUUCAGCUGUUAUUUUCUGAGGAACACUGAGCCAGCCCAGUGAGAGGCGGGUGACAAGGCUCCACGUGCACCCAGUCCAACAGUGCAAAUACAAGGGCUGGAAGGAGGCUCAAGACUGGAUGCUUCCCAGUUAACCCACAGGCAAGGCUGAGGAGACUGUGUCUUGCUAUCCCCAGGAGGAAGUAGGGGAACCAGGCACACAAGGAGACUGAAGAGAUCCCAAUGAAUCUCCGAGUGGUGAUUAGUGGAUUACGUGCAUCCCAGGGCCUGCCUCCAAUCACUUUCCCCUGCAAAUUGCUCAGCCCCGAUGCAGCAGCACAGAGCAAAGUGGGCUCUGUCGCCAGGGCCUGGUCCUCAUUAUGGCCAGGAGACGGCAGGAGUUUGUUUACACGGCUGGAACAUCAUCCUCCCGGGCAGCUCAUCAGCCUUUCCCCAGGGUUUCUGCUCACUGAAUGCUUCGAAGUAAUCACCACCAGCUACCUACACCCCGAGCAGCAUCUCAGCAAUUCACCAAGUCAACUGACAACAGCUUGAGCACGGCUGCCAGCGCUGCGC
rnacentral:lncRNA from 1 species